GAAACCAACAGGGAUUGCCUCAGUAACGGCGAGUGAAGCGGCAAAAGCUCAAAUUUGAAAUCUAGCACUUUCAGUGUUCGAGUUGUAAUUUGAAGAAGGUAACUUUGGUUUUGGCUCUUGUCUAUGUUCCUUGGAACAGGACGUCACAGAGGGUGAGAAUCCCGUGCGAUGAGAUGCCCAAUUCCAUGUAAAGUGCUUUCGAAGAGUCGAGUUGUUUGGGAAUGCAGCUCUAAGUGGGUGGUAAAUUCCAUCUAAAGCUAAAUAUUGGCGAGAGACCGAUAGCGAACAAGUACAGUGAUGGAAAGAUGAAAAGAACUUUGAAAAGAGAGUGAAAAAGUACGUGAAAUUGUUGAAAAGGGAAGGGCUUGAGAUCAGACUUGGUAUUUUGCGUUCCCUUCCUUUUUGGUUGGGUUCCUCGCAGUUUACUGGGCCAGCAUCGGUUUGGAUGGUAGGAUAAUGACAUUGGAAUGUAGCUUUACUUCGGUGAAGUGUUAUAGACUUUGUUGAUACUGCCUAUCUAGACCGAGGACUGCG
rnacentral:rRNA from 1 species